CUGGCUUAGGACGAACGCUGGCGGCGUGCCUAAUACAUGCAAGUCGAACGGUCUUUCUAUGGAAGCUUGCUUCCACUGAGAAGAUAGUGGCGAACGGGUGAGUAACACGUGGGUAACCUGCCCAUAAGAGGGGGGAUAACAUCCGGAAACGGGUGCUAAUACCGCAUAGGUUUUUCUUUGGAAUUCGGCACGUAGUAGUACGGAAAGGAAAAGACGGCCUUUUGUGCUGUCGCUUAUGGAUGGACCCGCGGCGUAUUAGUUAGUUGGUGAGGUAACGGCUCACCAAGACGAUGAUACGUAGCCGACCUGAGAGGGUGAUCGGCCACAUUGGGACUGAGACACGGCCCAAACUCCUACGGGAGGCAGCAGUAGGGAAUCUUCCGCAAUGGACGAAAGUCUGACGGAGCAACGCCGCGUGAGUGAAGUAAAGGUUUUCGGAUCGUAAAACUCUGUUGUCAGAGAAGAACAAGUUGGAGAGUAACUGCUCCAGCCUUGACGGUAUCUGACCAGAAAGCCACGGCUAACUACGUGCCAGCAGCCGC
rnacentral:rRNA from 1 species